CUCCCGCUGCAGCUCAAUGAACAGAACCUCGUCCAGGAAGUCCCCCACGUCCGGCAAUGUGAAGUUGGCUAGGAGGAACAGAGGACCCCAGAGGGAACAAGGAAUGGAGCUAUGUUGGGCAGAGAAGAGGCAAGCAGAAGCAAAUAGAGAGCAAGCUCAAAGGAGUGAUUAAGGGGCUGGGGAAGAGCCUUUUCACCUACAGAUCCUGCUGUGACGUCUGUUUGGGACCCAUCAUUUCGUACCUUUCAUUUCUAAUACAGCAUGAUCUGGGACGUCCUUCCCUUCUUCAUCUGUUCGCUUUAUUGUUCGGUCUUUUAGGUCCUCGUCAGUUGGACAAAUUACAAUAGCUUUGCGCUGGAAGCCUUCAAAUGGUCUCAUUUUUCGUCUCUGGGCUGACCCAUAAACAUUUGUCUAGGGGUAGGUAACAGAAGAGGCAAGAGAUGGCAUAUUUGGUGCGUUACGAGCUGUUUUUUUUCCCUCUGAGAGAGAAUACGUAGGCCAAGGACUGAGAAAAGGAUAUUGGUUCUUCCUCUGAGCACAGAAACUCAGGAAACUGCCCUUCUUAACAUUUAGGAUUCUUGAGUCCAUCCUUAGACAUGGAAUUGACUUGGAAAGUGGCUGCCACCAAGCACAGGGACAAGUGAUUCCUAAUGGUUGGGCCUGGCUUCUUAAUUUUCAUUGUUAUUGGAAUUGCACUUUUCCAGCCCAUUCUAAAAGUAAUACAUGCCCUUUGUAAAAAAUUCAGAGAACGAGGUAUAAAGUCUAGAGCUUGAAUCCCUCCAUUGGCUUCCCACCAGCCUUGCUCCCCAGAGGGAACCUGUACUGAAUUUCCUGUGUACACUCCUAGGAGUACUGACGUGAUUUUUAACACGAAUGAACUGUAUUUACUACGCAUACUCUUCUGUAGCCUCUUCUCACGUCACGAUGUUUUUCUGACACCUUUCUGUGCCUGCAUUCCCUCUUAUUGACUGCAUGGUAUCUGUAGAAUGAGUGUGCCAUUAAUUGACCAGCCCCUUUAAUGGCUGCAUAAAUGGUUUUCAUCAACACUCUGGUUCUUCUAUUGCUUCGGCCCUCCUCUGAAACAUCAGCCUCACCCACAAACUCUUAACCAACCAGACAGUUUGGCAAGGCCAUGCUUUUGGCAAGUAGUUUUGCUACUAAUUUUCUCCUCCUCUGUGUGAUGGGCCGAAACCCUGGUGGUGUAGUGGUUAAGAGGUACGGCUGCUAAUCAGAAGGUCAGCAGUUCGAAUCCAACAGGCACUCCUUGGAAACCCUAUGGGGCAGUUCUACUCUGUCCAACAGGGUCGCUAUGAGUUGGAAUCGCCUUGACAGUAGCGGUUUUUUUUCUUUUAAUGGGAUGGGCAGGUGCAUCCUGGGCAGUGGGGGUACAGAACAGUGCUCUAGGGCAUCCUUAGCUGAUGAUGGUAAUGCAACAGCUCCCACUGACUGAAUAGCUCCCACACUCUGGGACCAGAACCCAGGUCUGUUGAACCCCAGGGCCCCACGGACUCAGCCUGCAUAUCUGAAUCACCUGGCCGCUACUGUAAGAGACAGCAGUCUAAGCGCCACUGGAGUCCUCCUGGGUCCAGAUCUCUGGAGUGGGACCCAGGCAUCUAGACAGGUAUCCCUCCCUCUGCAAACUCUGGGACUGAGCAGAACUGGGGGAUGAGAAAGACCUAUAUUUAAACAACUUUUCAGUGGCUCUGACAGGGACCCAAGGGAAGCAGGUCUGUAAAGCGGAAUGUAGAAAUGGACAAAGUUUUAUUCUAAAGGGCAAUCCAGCAAGAUGGAAAGUGCCCAGAAUCAGAUCCUGGUUUGGCCACUAACUCACUUGGGGCCAGUCAUGUAGCUUCACGUGUAAAACGGGGAUGAAAAGCCUCCCUCCUGGGGCUGGUCAGGGACCGAUGAGGAAGAUGACCACAAAAGCAACCGAGAAAGCUGAAGAACGACACGGGGGCGGGAGGCUAUGCAGAAGCCUGAGUCUCCUGGAGCCAUGCCAGCCUUCCGGGUGGGAAACACCUUGGCCAGAGGCAGGCCGCACACUGGGACACUGGGAGAGCUCGGCAGACCUUGGCCCUAACCUCACUUGACCAUUCAGACCUGUGCGGCCCAGGGAAGUGACCUCCCCUCAGAGACCCUGCCUGCUCUUGAGUAAAAUCAGCUUAACCCAUUGCUGUCCAGUCAAUCCCAACUCAUAGCAACCCAAUCAACUCACUGUGUUUAUCGAGUCUCAAGCCCUGAAAAGGGAAGGCAGUGUGAACAUCAUACAGUCCUCGUAAAGACUAUGUUUACAUAAGUAAGAGCCCUUGGCUUGGCCUAGGGCCUGGCUUGCAGCCAACACUCAACAGAUGUGAGCUGCCACUGAAAGGAUGGUCAGGGGGUGGGGGCUGUAGAUAUUUUUCUGUAACACUGACUUGAAGCAACCCUCAGACCAAGGACAAGGUUACAUUUUAGUGGUCUCCCAAACAGAAAUGCAGGGACAGUGGGAUGGGUGGGAGGAACACAGGCUCUGAGGAAGGAACGCUGGUUGAAAUUCCAGCCUUGUCCUUUGCCACCUGUAAGACUGUGGACAAGUCACCUAAUUAGUCUGAGUCUCACAUUUCUUCAGCUGAAAGGCAGGGAUCCUAUCACCCUCUUCCCCGUGGCUUUGGUAAGGAUCAACAGAUGUGAAAGUCUUUGGCAUGUGGCACAGAAAGAACUCAACAGAGAGUGGAUGUAAAAAUAUGACAAACAGAACCGACAUCACUCUCAGGUGAUGCUUCCCAUUGGAAAGUCUCGAAGAAAACCAAGUUGGAGUAAAGGAUGAAGUACAAGACAUGAGGAACACGAAGCUGGGCUGUGGCUGGGCCAGGGCCAACAAGCCCAGUGCAACCCUGCUGGGAGAUCUGGGCUGUGGGUGCAGCUGUUCUGGAAGCCAAUCAGCCGACACACAUACCAGGGAAAGACAGACUUCCUGUUCCCCAGGGAAAGUUCAGAAGAUGAGAUUUUGGACUUGGAGUUGAUGUAAAGCUUUUGGGAUGAUAUGACGGGGUAAAUGUGUUUUGCAUGUGGCAAGGAAACUAAUUCUGGGGGUGCCGAGGGGUGGUAUGUUUUAGAUUGAAUUGUAUGCCCCCCUAAAAUAUGUGUUGUGAAUCCUAGCCUCUAUGGCCGUGGUUAUAAACCCAUUUGGGAAUGGGUUGUCUUUGUUAAGUUAAUGAGACAGGAUUAGUGUAGGGUAUGACUUAAGGUCAAUCUCUUUUGAGAUAUGAGAUCAAACAAGCAAGCAAGAGAAGCAGUGAUGGGGGAAGAGAGAUAUAAAGCCACCUGAAGAUCACCCAGGAGCGGAAACUCAAAGAGACAAGGACCUUCUUCGAGAGCCAACAGAGAGAGAAAGCCUUCCUCUAGAGUCAGCAGCCUGAAUUCAGACUUAUAGCCUCCUCACCUAUGAGAAAAUGAAUUUGGUAAAGCCACCCACCUGUGGUAUUUCUGUUACAGCAGCACUAGAGAACUAAGACAGAGAGUUAGCUGCCGGGGGCUGUUGCCACAGCAAACACUGUGAGGUCAGAGCCCCGGGCCAGCCCAGCACUGCUGUGGCCACCAGGGGCUGCUGGUGGCUGUUGCUAGGAAACUGACAGGCUAGCACAACAGCUAGGUCAGCUUUUCCAGCUGCGUGGGUUACCUCCGCCUAACUCCUCCUUCUCCCGGUCCCACCCUGCUUGAAGAUGUAGCCUUAAGACAAGGUCUGGGUGCUGUCUGUGUUCACCAGUCCCCCAACCCCAGGAAUGUGGGCCAGGGGACAGCUGGUUUCUCAGCGAGGAGCUGCAGGAGUAACUGUGGGUGUGACAGUCUGGGGGCUUGAGGAAGCAGCACGGCUGAAGUUCGAAAAGCCCCACUCUCCCCCAUCUACUCUCACAUGUCCCACUCGGCAGUGGCAGGCUGGCAGGAGGGAAGCCCGGCUGAAUCCUGGGGGAGAACACUUAAGGCCGCUGAGGAAAGAAUUUGUUCCAGACUCACAGUGAGGAGCCCCAGUGGAAGCACCCUGUAGGAGGAGAAGUGGCUGGUGCAUCAAGAACGGAAGGGGCAGAAGGAACAGCCCUUCCCCACUGCCUACCGAGAAGCAGUUUACUCUGGGCCUCUGCCCGAGCCUGGGUUUCUGUUUCAGACAAAAGUGUAGCACCUGCCAAGAGGGACAAAAAGCAGGCCUAGAGGUGCAUGUUCUGAAGGCCGAGUUCAGUUGGUGGUGUCGUCACUUCCAGUGGUGCUUCUGACAGUGCCUGGCCUGGCUCUGGGCUGUUACAGCACUCUAUGGGAAAUCCUAGCCUGCAGCCCUCAACUCUUGGAGGGUUUGGGCACCACGGCCCUGGUGCUGCCCCACCCAGAACCCUCCAGGAAGGCAACUUUGCUGCCUCAGAGGGGCAACUCCUGUCCUGUAAGCAGUAUCGAGGUCCCCUGGUAGCCCAGGCUCAGGCUAGGCAGCGUCUCGUUCCAGAGGCUAUCCACUUAGAGGACCCCAAGAAGCCACCUGAAGCAACGGCGUCUUCUACUCCUUCUGUCUUCUCUUCAGCACUUCACUAAAUGUGGCCACAGCUUCCAACUGCCCUCAGCACAAAGCCUCAACUCUUUAAAAAAAAUUUUUUUUUUGUGCACAAAGCCUCAACUCUUGUAAUCUUUCAUGUCCUGGCUCAGAUAGCCCCUCCACAGCUUGCCCAGACCCUCACAGCAGUACCAAUACUCUCAGUUGUGCCAUCUCAGAAGCCAGUAGAUCUGUGUUCUACCAGUAAAUCAGCUGUGACUUUGGACAGGUUCCUGUCCUUUUUGAGGCCUCGGUUUCCCCUCUGACCCACCUCCUGACUACCUUUUCCUCUUGGCGCUCCACAGCUGCACUGCCCAUAUGGUCUCAAGAGGCUGCUUGUGUGCUCAUGGAGUUUAGGUCAAAGCCUCAGAAAUCUGAGAGCCUGUGGCCCAAGAGAUACAUCUUUGCGGGAGCAGCUGGGGGUCCUGACCCGACCAAGCCAGAAUCCAGGAUCAGACAGCCCUGCCUGGCUUCCGCAGGCACAUUUUCCUUCCUUCUCAUGAGUGGGCAUUUCCGAGGUCAGUCUACAUAACAGGAGACACACAAGAAACAAGUGUGGGGAGACCUAACUGCUCUGGAAAGCCAGAGAUGGGAAAUGACCCUGGGCUGAGACCAGGGGGCUGAGGGACUCUGACUGCAGCGCUGGUCUACAGUGUGGAGACUUCAUCUAGCUCAGGAGACAGCCACGCAUCAACUAAUUCUUCACUGCCAGAGCUGGCAGGGUGGAAAGCGCGGGGAACUGGCCAGGGUCUGCUCUAAACCUUCCUACCUACCUCCACACACAAAAGCACUCCUUCAACUCACACCCAAAGUUUUCUAGAAUCCACCUUCGGGGUUCACACCAAAGCAAGGAAAACCAUUGGCUUUAGACUCCCUUCCCAGGCCCGAGUAACCGGCAGCUUCAGGCCCCAAGACAGUCCUCCCCUAUGUGGUUAACCAGGGAGCCCUGCUCUCCCACUUUUACAGCCAUGGGUCUUUUCUUUCUCUCACUGUUACCUGACCAGAAGACCACAGGACACCUGGCCCAACCCUGGACCUUGCCCCUGGACCAGCCAGCACCAGGUGAGCACUGACAGUGCCCCCGCUGCUACAAGGCAGCUGAGGCGCUGGGGUCCUGCCCUCAGAGAAAACCCGUGUGCUUAGGCGUCCUGAGCUGAGGUCCCACCCGUGACUACGGGGCCUAUACCACUGGGCCACCUUUUUGAAAUGGAUUUUACCGGCAAACUGAGAAAAGGGCAGGCAGGGAACAGCUGCUGAGGCAUCCAAAAGAGGCACCCUCGGGAUGCUAAACACCACUGCUCUAACCCUUCAGGGCAACGAGGCCCACUGGGCCAAGCCUGACAAGGACAAUAGGGCAGAGUGAGGCCAGGAGUUAAAAAAACAACAGCCAAAACCAAAAGCACCAGCAAAUAAGUCUUCAAACAGGGAGGCCUGUGCACGUAUUACUGAUGGGAUGACCUGGGGGGAUUACCCUGAAAGGCUUUUUGGCUAUCCUGUACGUGACUGUCCUGUGUAGGAUGUUCACCCCUCUGCCAAGGCAACCUGGACACCUGGGAGUUCUUGUUGACCAGCUAGGGCCCUCCAACCACAACCACCUUUCUAACAAGCCAACCACCAUUACUGGGUUGCCCUUCUCAGGGCCCCUUUUAACUCAAGGUGACUGAGGGGGGAGUGCAGCUACUUUAGUUUACACAUUUGCUCACACACACGUUCUUGAGAAAGCACAAACAGCACGGCUGAGGGAAACGGAGGCUUUUCCGCAGAAGCCAAAAUGCAAGAAAUAAGAAAACAUCCUUUGCUACUUAAGAAAGCCCUUUUCAGAACAAAUGUCAAGGAUGACAUCACACAGGCAGUAAACGUGUGGAAUUCAUGACUCCGGGACAGGGAUCCAGAUCCCCUGACGUGAAGAACCCCACCCUUAACUGCAGGCAGGAAAUACAUGACUUAGCUGUACACUGGCUAGUCAUAAAUACAUACUAAAAGAAGCUGGGAUCAGACCUAUUCUGUAACUGACACCUACUAUGUGCCAGGUCCUGUGUUAGGUACAUGGGUGCCGUUAUGAUCCCCACCUUAAAGACUAGAGGACUGUGGUUCAGAGAACAAAGUUAGAUGUCCACAGCUAGGAAGCAGCAGGUCUGGGCUUCAAGCUCAAGUCUGUCCGGCUCCAAAACCCAUGGCCUUUCCGUUUUGCUAAACGGCUCUCCCCUGGUGAUAUUCUUUGGGGCUGCUGACAUUGAGUCUGAGCUGGGCCUGGACUGUGGGCCUCAGACCCCACCCAUGAACGGGGCUCAGGGAGCUGUGCUGAGGUCUGGGACCGCACUGCUAAGGUCAUGUACACUUGACCCCCUGACCAGCAUGGCAUUCAGGAGCGUUAUGGGGAAAAAAGGAAAGGGUCAGAGAGGAAUCCCCAGGUACCUAACAGGCUCCCUCCCCCCUCAUCAUGAGGACAGGAUGGUCACCAGUAAGUACCUGAUCUAGAAUAUAGUUGCGUUUCUUGCGGGCAGCAAUCUGGAUGAGGCGGUUGAGGCACUGGGUGGCCUGCUGGAUCAGGACAUCCCAGCGGCCGGCGUAGUUCCGCUGUCGGCGUAGGCCCAUCACCUGUGGGCAGUAGGUGGUAAGGGGUGGUGGUCCUGGCUUUAGGGUAGCACUCGGGGGAGUGCAGGAUGGGUAAGGAGAGACCUUACCCGCAUCUUAUCCAUGAUGGCAUUGGUACCCAGGAUGUUGUACUUCUUGGAGGGGUUGGAGGCUGCAUGUUUGAUGGCCCACGUGGUCUUGCCGGCAGCAGGCAGGCCCACCAUCAUCAGAAUCUACAAGAACAGGCCAGGAAGGGGUGCUAUGAAGCAGCAGAGGUGGUGUGGCAUGGUGGUCCGGCCUGGCACUACCCAACUCACUGGCGACCAUGAGGGUGACCCCAAUCCUCAUGGCUGCCUCCGGAAAAUGGAAGCAAUAACAGCAUCUACCUCACAGCACUGGAGAUAGGCGAGGUUUGUCAGGCUCUUAGCAGAGGGACUGGCACAGGUGAGCACUCAAGCACUGUCGCCAUUAGCAUUUGAAUCUUAGUUCAGGAUUAAGUGGUCUCUGAGAAGGAAAGGCCCAGGAAGGCUACGCACUGCCACCUGCCCACUCCAGGAGUGGGGAUGAAAAGUGAACGGAGAAGUCCGCUCAACCGCAGGCACCGUAUCUAAUCGGUAUAAUCAGAGCUGGCAAACACAAACAACAACCUAAAUGAACAUCAAAAGGGCGGCUGGAUUUUGUGAGGCCACUAAAAAAGAUGUUCAAAAAGAAGUUUUCACAUGCGGGUCAAAGCUCAUGAUAUGAUGUCAAGUGAAAGGGACGGGAUCUCAGAGUGCUCAGUCAGAAGGUCUCCCUUAUCAAUAAUGUGCAUGCAUAAAACACAAAAAACCAAGUACAGGAAAAAGAACAGGAUAAACUCUAAAACUCUAGGAGUAUUUGCAGAUGAUGGAAUUACGAAAAAUUUUAAUUUUCUUCAUGCUUCUUGAUUUUCUAGAAUAAACACAAAUUGUUGCUAUAUUAGAAAAACAUUAUUUUAAGGAAAAGGCUCAUCGGUCCAGCUCCUAGAGCCCUAUUACCCAGAGGCCAGCUCUCUUUUUUGUCCUUACACAGCCCUAGGGUGGGGCGGGCGGGAGGUGGAGUCACCCAAUCUCCUGAGAAAACACUGGCUGGCAGAACACACUCUCAGGACACGUCUUCACCUCCUCUCUCCUCUUCUGACCCUCGGUGAAGGAGCAGCGUGGGCACCUCCUCUUGGAACCUAAGACUCAGGCACCUCACCUUCAUCCCGCCCUCUCUGGCCUCAGCCACACGAGCACCCCCCACCUCACACUCAAGGGAACCUGCCAGCUUGAAGUCUGGCUCCAGGAGCAAUUCGCCCGAGGUUACUCAUGCAGCGAGCCUGUGCUUCUUUCCCAACCCGGCUGCUGCGGGUCUCCCUUCUGCCUCGACAGCAAGGUGGCCACCACAUCAGUCUUCCAGCCCCACUUACCUCACAGUCUGCCUUGCUCUUUGGUCCGACAGUGCCCCGGAUCCGCUCACCAAGGGGAAGAUGCUGGAUGAAGGUGAAGCCCGGGAGGACAGAACAGUAGGGCUCUGCCCUCUGGCCAAAGUUGAACUCCACUGCACAAUUCUUCACCAGGACAUGAGGGUAGAGGGCCUGACCCCCCAAGGCUUCCUUCUGGAUUCGGAAGGCAAUGCCCAUCCACUUCCCAUUCUUGGUAAAGGAAAGCUCCACGUCAUUCCCACAUUCAAAGUCCUUGGAGAAAAAGCCAGAGAAAGAUAAGUGCCAAUGCUUGGUGUAAGGCACUGGGGCCACAAGUGGGAGAGACGGGAUGCAGGUGAGGUGGCUAGCACCUGGGAGCAGCUCGGAGAAAGUCCAGACCAAAGCUCUCCUUGCCUAAGGCCCUAGGAGCUGGUGACUCAAGACGGGUGGGUGUUAAACAAGCAAUUUCAAGAAGCUGCUAGUAUGCAAGCCCGAGACAAAGAUGAAGGACGAGGCCACCCUACCCGGUCCUCAGAACUGGCAAGGGCGGUUUGUGAGGCUAACAGCUGAAAGGUCACCACUGCAGGGCCUUUUGAAGUCUUGGGCGCAGUUUCGCAAAUGCACUCAGUCAACACGUGUUCCCUGGCUUCCCAUUCUCCUGGUGCCUCCGUCUGUGGUGAUCUGGGCCUGACAGAGCUCAGUGACCAGGGGACAGAUAAGGAGACUCUUUUAUCCUUUCUGUGAGAGAAACUCCACACAAGCAAGUUUCGUGAGGAGGGGACCCCUCAGCUAAGUCCUGCACAAUAAACGGGAACAAGCUGGGUUUAGGUGGGAAGAAGGUACCCUACAUAAAGAGGGUGCUGUGUGGGACAGAUCUGGAGGUGGCCACGCACGGGGUCAGACCGGUUGGAGGGUAAAGGGUGAAGGGCAAGUAAUCUCAGGUACAGCUGGAGAGCCAGGCAGGUGCUGGGUUCACUCAGUCAGCAACUAUUUACUGAAGUCCUACUGGGCAGCUGAAAUUUAGCGGUUAAGGUUCUGUUUUGGGGGGCAAGGGGGCAGGGGGUGUGGCGGCAACUGCUUCCCCUCUGUCACUUCUUAGUGGUGUGGCCUUGGGCAAUUUCAUCUUCAGUUUCCUCAUUAAAAAGCGGGGUGGUGGUAUUAUCCUGCAUAGGGGUGUUCAAGGAUUAGGGAGGCUAGAACAUCUACGCACAGUAAGCGCUCAAUAAGGAGCUCUGGUGGUGCCGUGGUUAAGUAUUUGGCUGCUAACUGAAAGGUCUGUGGUUCAAACCCACCCAGCAGUGCAACCACAGAAAAGACCUGACAAUCUGCUCCCAUAAAGCUUACAGCUGGGAAACCCUACAGGACACUCCUACUCUGUCAUAUAGGGUCGCUACAAGUCAGAAUCAACUCAAUGGCACACAACAAGCACUCGACGUCAGCUGUCACUUGCAGAUGCCAGGAACUGUGCUAGGGAGACAGGGCUGCAGGUGGAGUGGUGGAGGGGAGACAAGGUCCGUGCCCUCGGCGUGUGAGGGCAAUGUUACCUGAGGAGUCUGGACUUUACACCGAUGACAGAGCAGAGUCCCUGACUUGGUUGGAACAGAGAAGUAGCCUAUUACAACUGUGUUUCAGAAAGAUUGCUUUGGCUACAGGGUAGAGGGAGGCUCAAAGCUUGAGAUCAGAGAGUGGACUGAAGCAAAGCACACAGCUGGUUUCUGACAUAAAAGUACAAGAUGUGGUACCCUUUGCCUCUCAAGUCGGGGGACCACUCCGAGAUUCGGCUUUCAAGAAGCGGCAGAAGCACUUUCCCCGAGGAGGCCCCUUGCCCUCUCCUCAGUGCUCACAGGGCACAGCACCCUGUAAGAGGCCAUCUGUCCGCUCAUCGCUAACUACCUGCACAGCAGACACACAGACACUGGUUGGACCAAAUCCUGUGCCAGUCCCUGCAGCACAGACCCAGCCACGUCCCACCACCCGAUCAAGACUGGCCCAGGACACCUUUGCCCUAACGUGGCAGUGAACAUCAUGGCUAGCAGCCUUCCUUAAACCGCCAGCUUUACAACACGAUCUUGGCACACUGCAAACAGACCAGCGCUGCCAGCUAACACACCCACCACCGAGAGAGCCAUGGAAGAGGCGAGUGCGGUCGUACUGCUUCCGCCACCACGUUCCUAUGCUAGUCUGGGGCAAAAGGAGGCCUGACCUCCUUAAGCCUGGCAUCUGUCAGACUCCGCCAGGGCCUGGUACCUGCCUGUUUUUGUAGCUUCAUCUCUCAUACCUCCUCAUGGUCCCUAGGCUCUAAGGACUAUGCUGAAUGGAUCAUACUGCUCUCCCUACCUGUAAGGCUGUUCUGUGAGUGUUGAGAGUUUAAGAUUGACACUUACGUCUCCUCUGGAUCCCUCAGGUCAUCGAUUUUCACACCUCCCCUGAGCCCCACUCUGAACCUUUUUAAGGUGUGGCAGCCUUUAAACCCAGGAAGUUGUAGAAUUUUAAAAGCGAGAGUAGAGAUGAUCUGCUUAUAGCAGGAGUCGAGGCCUGGCGCUCCGUACCACCACACGCCCUCAGAACCUCAAGCACUGAUAGAGCACAGUUUGGAAAAACACUGUCACGCACAGAAGACACGUUACAUUCGCUGAGGCCUCUUCGGAGCAGUCUUGACAGUAGCUGUAAAAAUUUACUUAAAAAAAUAAAGAAUAUCAUCCGGAAGUACUGUGCUCCUUUAAAAAAAAACACCAACAUGAAAGCAAACGGUCUUCAAUCACUUUAAAACAAAGAUGAGAAAGUAAGGGAACAGGGAACCUAGAUUAAUGGAAAUGGAACAACCAGAAUGGAACUAAUGAGAACGGUGACUCAUUGUGAAGGAUGUAACCAAUGUCACUGAACAACUUAUGCAGAAAUUGUUGGAUGGGAACCUAAACUGCUGUGUCAACCUUCACCAAAACACACAAACUAAUAAAAAGAAAUGGCGGCCAAUGUCACAAAACAGUAUGUGUACUAGUUGUUUAAUGAGAAGCUACUAGGUUCUAAAAACCUUCAUCUAAAGUAGAAUUAAAGAAAAAAGUAAGAUGGAAAAAACAAAGAAAGAAAAAGUUAAAAAUACCCAUUUGACGCAGAAGUUGUACAUUUAGGAACAAAUACUAUAGCUACAUCCCCACGAGAAUGCAGAGAUGUGCAAGAUGCUCACUCUAACACUACCAAAUGGGCUCUAGUGGGGAGCAGGGGCAGCUAAACCACACAGAAGGUUCACAUGGGGACACAAAGGACUCCAAGGUACUCUGGUAAGUGAAAGAAAAAUAGACAGCUGUUGCCGCAGUAUCAUCUGUUCCAGUAAAGACGGUUCAGGCCCACCAGCAAAAGACUUGCUAAAUUGGUAGGGGGCACUGAUGCCUAAAUCAGAAUAUUAGGAAGCCACUAAAUAAAAUGGCAAGAAACUAUUUGAUGUCCACUAACAGAAACUGGUUACAUAAAUCAUGGGACAUCCAUACGACUACAGACUAUGUCAAAGAACAGGGAAGCCUUGCAUGAUACAGUGAUAUACAAAGAUCUCUAAGAUACACAGUUAAACAAAAAAGAGAAUUGCAAAAUAACGUGUAUAAUACACUACCUUGUGUAUAGAAAGAAGAAAAGUAAUAAUCCUUUCCCCUGUAUCUGGAUGAAGAACCCCUAGAAGGAUACCUAAGAAACCGGCACCUGUGGGAGGAAGGUCUGAAGUAGGCUUUUCACUAUGCACCUUUUUAUACUUCUUGAAACCACGUCAAUCUAUUAACUAUUAAAAAACUUUUUAAUUGAGCUGAAUCCCUUGUGACAGGGAAAGAUGGCCAAGAUUUACCGUCAAAUGGAAAAAAUACGUUAGACAGUUCAUAGAGUAGAAAUAUAAUUUUUUUAAAAAGAAAAAAUACACCAUUAAAAAGAUAAUGAGGUCACGAAAGGCAAAGGAAGGCUGAGAAACUCUUCCCGAUUAAAGGAGACUAAAGACACAGGACAACAAAAUGUAAUAUACACUCCUGAACUGAAGACCAGAUUUGCUCUAAAAGAUACUGUUGGGACAACUAACGAAAUUUAAAUGUGGACUAUGGAGUAGAUAAUAGCAUUAAAGCAAUGUUAAAUUUGAUAACUGUCCUGGGGGUUGUUUUUUUAAAAAUACACUGAAACAUGGAAUAAAGGACCGUGAUGUAUGUAACCUCUCAAACAGGUUAGAUAAAAAUCACAGGUCAAAAAAAAACAUGAGAAAAUGAUAACACAAACACGGCAAAUAUUAGAUCUGAUGUCUUAGAGAACUCUUUUUCCUCCUUUUACAGUUUUUCUCUAACUUUAAAAUUAUUUCAAAAUAAAAGCAAAAAAAAAAACAGGAAAAAA